GUUACUCACGAAAACCCACGUCAAUAGAUCGGUCGUUCCAUUGAUCGAUGAAUGAGGAAAGUUUGUUAGUUCUUUUCCUAAGAUGGUUGAGUUAAACGAUCCUAAAUCUCACGAAAAAUUUUCAGUAGAUGUAAAACUUCUGCUUGUACCAGGAGUUCUCUUAGUCCUUUUAGUUGUGUUAUUUAUUUACCGGAUUUUAAAGGCAAACCAUGACAGGGAAAAAGCCAAGCAAGAAAAGAAAAAAAUGAAACAAGAGAAGAAGAAACAAUAACAGAAGGCCUGGAUAUUAGGAUAACAAAUUAUAUCUUUGGUAAAAGCUUUACAAUCAAGUCUGGAAUUUUCAUCUUUCUACAACGAUUUGGAUUUUGGUGACUUACAUCUCCUCUUGAAUACUGUGGCUAUGUGUCAUGUGAUCUCUACUGGCUGUAAGACUUCGAUAACUACUGUAAAGGAAAUAGAUUUCACCUUUGGAAAUGGAAAUUGCAGUAAUUUUGAGUUAGCUAGAACUCCAAAUAAGCCAAGUUUACAGUGAGGAAGAUCUAUUGUACAAUUAGUUUUCAGAGAACUCAAACAGAAAAAUUUAUAUCAAUAUCUUUAUUGUGCUGUACACCAAAUGAUUUAUUUCAACAAAUCACAAAGUAAAAUAUCUCCAUUGACAAUCUAAA